ACAUGGGUUGGGGUUGGAUGUUUGAAAAUAGUUUCAAAUUUUAUAAAAUAUUUUUACAAACUAUCAUACAAUCAAAUAAACUUUAAUUUCAUAUCUAAUAUACAAUAUAUCAGAUCUAAAAUAAAAAAUUUUUAACUCCUUUUGUUGUUCAUCUUCAUAAAAAAGAUUGUGCAGUACCCCUACACACCAUAGGAGAUCUCCAUGGAAUGGGAGGAGAGGGUCAUAAAAUUCUACUUUC
rnacentral:lncRNA from 1 species